rnacentral:rRNA from 1 species
CCUACGGGGGACAGCAGUGGGGAAUAUUGGGCAAUGGGCGCAAGCCUGACCCAGCCACGCCGCGUGAAGGAAGAAGGCUUUCGGGUUGUAAACUUCUUUUAUCAGGGACGAAGAACGUGACGGUACCUGAUGAAUAAGCCACGGCUAACUACGUGCCAGCAGCCGCGGGAAUACGUAGGUUGCAAGCGUUAUCCGGAUUUACUGGGUGUAAAGGGCGUGUAGGCGGGAAAGCAAGUCAGAUGUGAAAACCAUGGGCUCAACCUGUGGCCUGCAUUUGAAACUGUUUUUCUUGAGUACUGGAGAGGCAGACGGAAUGCCUAGUGUAGCGGUGAAAUGCGUAGAUAUUAGGAGGAACACCAGUGGCGAAGGCGGUCUGCUGGACAGCAACUGACGCUGAGGCGCGAAAGCGUGGGGAGCAAACAGGAUUAGAUACCCUGGUAGUC